rnacentral:tRNA from 1 species
AAUAAGAUGCCUGAAAAAAGGGUUAUUUUGAUAGAAUAAAUCAUGUGAAAUCUCACUCUUAUUA